GGAUUACAGGUGUAUGCCACGAGGCCCAGCUAAUUUUUUGUAUUUUUUGUGGAGGGGGGGUUUCACCCUGUUGCCCAGGCUGGUCUCGAACUCCUAAGCUCAAGCUAUCCACCCACCUCAGCCUCCCAAAGUGCUGGGAUUACAGGCGUGAGCCACAACGCACAGCCUAACAAUUCAACAUUAAUAUAACCCAUACAAUUACUUAAUAAGAUUCAAAGAUUUCUAGUGAGAUCUGCAGUCUGUAUGCAUUUUCCACAGUUGACUCAUCAUCUCUCUCUCUGCUGUCUGCUGGUUCUCUGAUAGUUUGGGUCAAGAGUUUCAGCUCGUAUUCAGUUUGAGGAUUAAGUUUACGAAAGCAGAUGGCUUUCAGCUACUAGAAGAGAGAAGGUGCUAUUCUACCUUUCGAUGAUGGAAAGACUCCACAGCUCAAUCUCCAAAAUUACUUAAAUGGAUUCAUUUAGCUACCAUCUGGAGUAUCCAUCCAUAAUAACCGCGGUGAGUGACGGUGCCCAGGAGAGGGAACAUUUGGGGGACGGUGGAGGUGUUCUGAGCCAUGUGGUGGGGAUGACUGUACAGCUCUGUGGCUCUGCUGAAAGCCAUUGAACUUAUACACACAGGGGUGUUUGUUUUGUUUUGUUUUGUUUUUCUUUUGAGACAGGAUCUCACUCUGUCACCCAGGCUGGAGUGCAAUGAUACGAUCACAGCUUGCUGCAGCCUCAACCUACUGGGCUCAAGCGAUUCUCCCACCUCAGCUUCCCCAGUAGCUGGAACUACAGUUGAGAGCAGAAUUUUAAUAGGCAAAAGAAAGAGAAGCCCUCACUGCUGCAGAGAGGAAUCCUGGAGAAAUGGGUUGCCCUCAGUUGUCUUUUUCUUUUUUUGAGAUAGUCUCUCACUGUCAACCAGGCUGGAGUUCAGUGGCGCAUUCGUACCUCACUGCGGCCUCAACCUCCCAGGCUCAAUCAAUCCUCCCACCUCAGCCUCCCGAGGAGCUGGGACUGUAGGUAUUUAACUAUUUUUCUGUUGAGAUUUGGUCUUCCCCACCCCCCACCACAGAUUUUUUAAAUUAGAGGGCACUUUUCCAAACAAAUUAUUCUUAAGGUCCUGCUAUCUCUGAAUAUUAUUUUUAUAGAACAAGCAUAACUAUAAUUGGAUCAAUCUAACCUUUCAAAUCCUCAACUUAGUCCUCUGUUAAUGAGAGGAUUAAAUCCAUGAGUUAAAUGAUCUCUAAGAAUCAGUGUGUCUCCAACUUCAGUGAACAAACAGCAGAUCACCCAGGGAUCACGGUGGGACGCAGACUCUGAUUCCACAGUUGUGGACUUGGUGGCGGUGGGUGCUGGCUCAGUCCAUCUGGGCUGCUGUGCAGAGUGCCACAGACAGAGCGGCUUGUGAACAACAGACGCUCUCACCCUCUGGAGACUGAAAGUC
rnacentral:lncRNA from 1 species